rnacentral:rRNA from 1 species
GAUGAACGCUGGCGGCGUGCCUAAUACAUGCAAGUCGAGCGAACGGACGAGAAGCUUGCUUCUCUGAUGUUAGCGGCGGACGGGUGAGUAACACGUGGAUAACCUACCUAUAAGACUGGGAUAACUUCGGGAAACCGUAGCUAAUACCGGAUAAUAUUUUGAACCGCAUGGUUCAAAAGUGAAAGACGGUCUUGCUGUCACUUAUAGAUGGAUCCGCGCUGCAUUAGCUAGUUGGUAAGGUAACGGCUUACCAAGGCAACGAUGCAUAGCCGACCUGAGAGGGUGAUCGGCCACACUGGAACUGAGACAGGGUCAAGACUCCUACGGGAGGCAGCAGUAGGGAAUCUUCCGCAAUGGGCGAAAGCCUGACGGAGCAACGCCGCGUGAGUGAUGAAGGUCUUCGGAUCGUAAAACUCUGUUAUUAGGGAAGAACAUAUGUGUAAGUAACUGUGCACAUCUUGACGGUACCUAAUCAGAAAGCCACGGCUAACUACGUG